UCAAACUUGGUCAUUUAGAGGAAGUAAAAGUCGUAACAAGGUUUCCGUAGGUGAACCUGCGGAAGGAUCAUUUUAGGAGGGGGGUGUUUGUGUUUGUGAUUGGUUGGGGGUGUUGUUGUGCAACAUCAUCAUCUUCAUCACAACUCAAUCCACAUAUUGGCACAGACUGGUCUGGUGUUUGGAGCACAGACUGGUCUGAUGUUUGCGCUUGCGUGUUUGACAGAAACAAUACCAUUAAUAUACAACUUUUAACAACGGAUCUCUUGGCUCUUGCAUCGAUGAAGAACGCAGC
rnacentral:misc_RNA from 1 species